CUGAACCAGUGAUUGUCUCCAACUCCGGGCACUCAGGGAAUCGCCUUUUCCGGUGUCCUGGCGCUCUGCGGACAAAUAAACAGCAGAGAGUAAACGGUGGCUGCGAAGGAAGGGAGCUGGAGAACCGGAGUUGGAAGUGCGGCCCUGCACGGGCGCCAGGGUGGCCCCCGGGGUGACGCGGACACGGAGGAGUCGCCAGGGCACUCGUCCAUGAGGCGCACUCGUUGCUCGAAAGGGUCCAGUCUAAGAAUGGCCUGCAGAUGAUGAUUUAUUUUUGUAAAAUAAAUACAUACUCCAUCUCCGCACCCACAUUCUCCUCUUUCUUUCUUUUUACGGGGGCUGGGAUGGGGGAAGGGGGUAGGGAGAAGAAAAUGGAUAGGCGGAGGAAGAUGGGAAGGUGGAAGAAGCUUUGCCGUUGGUGCCAGCUCUGCUCCAAGAGCUCCUCACGCACCUCAACUUGGGGAAUGUGAAUGCACGCUUUAUUUUCUUUCGCUAACAAAGGGAAGCCCUGUCUGGGAGCAUUCAAUCACAGACUCUCUUGAAACCUCGCUAAUAGUGCUCAUUUCUGUUUGACUCGAAAUCAGACCCCGGCGCAGUCUUUGGGCUGGGGGGCAGUCUUGAGAGGUUUUGUCUUCUGGUUUAUUCAAGCCCUGGGUGCCUCACUUCUCGGUCCCAGUGGGCUGGCGGGACCACCGCAGCGCCCAGUCCCUAAGAGUAGGCCAACUGCGGCUGGUUGGAAAUAGGGGAAGACUAGGAAGGAUGCAGACAUCUGACAAUACCCGAUCUGGGGGCCCUAACCAGCCUUGCCUUGCACAGCAGUCCCAAGCCAACCGAUGCCCUAAUUCUGCUGCCAACUUGUCUCUCAAGGUAUCUGCAACCCUCUCUUGCUCUCUAAGUAGCAAAUGGUCAGCCAACUUUCCGGAGAUGGAGAGAAGACGCUGGGGAAGGUGGAGAAGAAUCAUCCCCAAUGCUGAACCCCGGCUAGAUUCUCCACUGCCUGGGACUCUGCUGGGCCGGUUGCUUCCACAAACCUACUCCCCACUACCCCUUCACCCCCCGCCCGGUAGCCUCCCCACAAGCCAGCCUGCCCCCAACCAGCCCUGGAUGCCUGAUCCCAGUCAAUGCAGUCCUGUUGAUGGCCUGAGAGACCACCAAAUAGCUGACAAGCCCCCUGACCCUCAGGCUUCAGGGCCCCCUAGCACACUGAACAAAUGGCGGAAAACCAGCAACUAGUUGCCCUCUGCCACCCUCUCGACCUGUAGCCCUCACCCUCCAUCAGGCCCUUGGGACUCAGAAUCCACGCUGGGCCCCUUUCUCUUAUUCAAAUUCGCCCUCUAUGUCCCCACAGGGAGUGUCUCCGGCCUUGGGGCUCCUGGAGGGACCCUGAGCGUGGUGGGGCUUAGCUACCCUGCACAAUGCCACUCAACUUCGCCCCAGAAAGAACCGCUAUGCCGCCAUCCGCCACCCCUCCCCACCAACGACGCUUAGGAGUAUUGUAAUUAUUAUGGUUAUUGUUGUUGCUAUUUCCUUAUCCCCAAGUCAAAUAUUCAUGGCUGCCGUUCCCCAUAAAUCGUUCAGACUAAUGAGUCACAAAGAGAUGUUGCCCAGGUCUCUUUCCCUCUGCAAUGGCCGCCGCCGCCGCCGCCACCGCCGCCGUGGCCUCUCUCUCGGCGUUUUUGGCGCUCGCUUGCUCCCUCGCUCGCCCGGCGCGGGUGAUUUAUGAACACCGGGAAAAUUGAACAAAGCCGCGCGCCGGUCCUGUGGUAUCUCUGCAGCCUUCCCCCGUGUGAAUCAGAACAUUAUCAACUGUCUGCGCAUCCGUCCCACUUCAUCACUAAAGCCGGGAUGUGACCGCAGAAAACCCAGCCCAAACUCACGUUUCCCCGGACGCGGCGCGCUCCCCGGACUUGCAGAAACCCUGAAGAAAAAGCCCCCAAACCCGGCGUGGGCCCGCCNGGGGCCCCGCCAGCUCCGGUCCUCCCCGCCGAAGGGCUCUCUCUUCAAACCUCCUGAAGGAGUUAAAAGCCUUUGGAGAUAAAUCUGAGGGUGUGUGUUUUUAAAAAUCAAAUAGGAAGUUGGGGUCUCACUUCUGAGAGAUUCAUUCCUAGUGCGGCCCUGACGACUCCGAUCCAUUCCUGACGAUCCGCAUUAAUUAUUUAAUGAGUCACGUGACCUCAAAAGAUUACAAUUUCAAUAUCUCCCUCGAACUGGCGCUACACCUUUAUCUGCUGCAACGAUGGUCCUUGUUUGGCUUUUUUAGUUCCCAGGCCUCCAGAACGCAGACACUCCUUGCUCCUUGCUCAACUCCAGGGCAAGCGACUGCCAUGGAAAUCCCAGGGCCAGCAUAGAAUUAGUCAUUCUGGAACUAUGAGCAUUGUGGACAGUGGGGUGCCCACCGCUCUCCCAGGCACCCAGGCAUCUGUCCCCUCCUGGGACCAAAGGUCAGCCCACCUGUGUCAGUGCCCAGGCUAAGGCGCUUUGGUGACCUAAUCUCCUGGGGCCGCUUUGAUGGCGCUUCAGGCGAGAACCCACCCUACCUCCCUGGACACCUCAGCACACCUGUGGCCAUCCUUGUCAAGUGUUAGCCCAGAGGCAGGUCCAUUCCAGGCAGAAUAGGCUUGCCCAGAGGAAAGAUGCCUGUGCACUUACCCCUCUCCAAGGUGAGACCAAAGGCUCUAUUCAACCUGCACAUUCAUUAACAGGAACAUGGGGGAACAUUCAACUGCCUUAGUUUCCUCUACCGUAAACUGAGAAGAUUGAACCAAAAUGGCCUCCAAAUCUCUUUCACCUCGGACAUUCUUUGAAGCAAGGAUCUCUUGUAGCCCCAGAAAUCAAGCCCAGAGACAGGGGAGCUGGCCUGAGUGGGUGGCGGGAGUUACUCCAUGAGUGUGGGACCUUGAGAAGUGAUACCAGAAUUCCAAGAGAGAAGUUUCAUACUAGAAUGUUUCAUCAACAGCCCCAGCACCCUCCCUGAUUCCAACAAGAAGUGAGAACCCAUAUUCUUUCCUCCUCCUAUUUUUCCUAGCCCUUAGCCUUUGAUAGAGGAAGCAGAGUUCUUCUUGGGCCCCUGGGGUAUAAUAUAGAAGAGGGGCAAUAGGAACAGCCCUUGGGAAGGCUGAGCCUAUGUUCUUCAAUACAGGGCUGCGGCUAGGAUAGGGAUGCAAGCCAAAGGAGUGCAAAGAACAGCCUACUCCCUGCACAGAACCCACCCAUUCAGACAGGAAGCCCCCCCCCCCACUCUCUGUUUGCUACACUGAUUCUUUGGGUAUCUUUUUUCCCUUUCAUUCUAAAGAGUCCUAGAUCAGUUUCUAUGUUGCAACUGCUGGAGAGAAGGCAGUGGUGAGAAGAGCAGCCCAGUUUGGAAGCUUAGAAGAUCAGGGGGACAGAGUAGAGAUGGAGAUACCCACCCCUCGGGGGAAGAAGCUGAGAGGUGAGGGGGGGGGGGGGGGGUGCGGAAUGUGAGCACCCUCGAAGAGCUGGGUAUAAAGUCAGAGAUUCUGUGCAGAGGGCCCACUCCCCAUAUAUCUAGGUAAUCUUCCCAGGAGCCCCAUCCUGGGUAUUAAGUACUCUACUAUGCCUGUCACAGUUGAAUUCCCGCUGUAAUAAAACACCGGGUAUAUCGUAGAUUUCAGCAAAACUAGGAAAGAGAGCCUGCAAAAUGCCAUUUUUCUUCAGUGGGGAGAGUGUUAAGUACUUAAUUCAAACUGUGACCAUUAAAGUGUCUCCCAUCCGAUUUAAGUUGAUUUCAGAUGUUGACAAAACUUUUAUCUCCAGAGUCAUGCACAGCUUGGCUCUGUGACUAAAGCAAAAGAGUGUGUGUUAGAGGGAAGGAGGGGGGAAAGAGAAAAAGAAGAGGGCAGCAUGUGUAAGGGUCAUUUUGGUAGGAGAAUUAUAGAGCUUACACAAAAUACUGUCUUUAAAGGUCAAGGGUUUGAGGGGCCACUAGGGUUCGCGUAAAAAAAAAAAAAAACAAUUAAUGAGAUAGAAAAUUUGUCCUCUGGGUGAACUCUUAUGGUUGCCCUAGCAAAGGGAAGACAAUGCAUGAUUUUAAAGCACAAAGUGGGAUUUUUCUAAGCUGUUCUAACAAGCUCCCUUAAAGACCAAAUUAAAACAGGAAAAACACUAAAGAAAUGACACAAUCCUUUGGGUCAUUUUGGAUCAUUUUGGCUUUGUAACACUUACCAAUACCUUAAUAAUUAAGACAGCUUAGACAAAAAUGCCAUUUUGUCUUGGUAUAUUAGAAAAACAAUCUGUCCAUCCUUUCUCUUCCUUUCCUGGACAGACUAUAAGAGUAAGUGAAAGAAAGUUAUCCCCUUUAUCCCCACACAACUGCCUCCUGUAUGAAGCUGGAAUGAAUGCCUCUAUACCCCUCCUUCCCUACAAAGGAGAAAUAUAAGAAUUUACCUUAAAUGAUGAUAAUCUGCCAUUUGAGGUUUUGCAGCUUGACACUCAGUUUCCACCAAGAGUCUAGGCAUUUUUUGAGCAGACAGCCGAGAUGCUGCGUCUUUGCCCGAGACCAUAUUAUUUGCAAGAAGAUCCCUUGCUUCUCCACAGACUUUUCCCAGAGAAUGCCUUUCAGAAUUGCUGUUGAAUUACAAAGAAGUAUUUAUUGUAUGAGGUGAUUAAUGAUUCCUGGGAAAAUUGCUAUUUUCAGCGUGAUUUAAUUUCGUUUUACAAGUGCGUGUAGUAGGGGGAGGGUUAAUAAGUUUCAGCAGCAGUUGCAGUGUCCCCAGAAAUCCCUGGCACCCGUUCACACCAUAUAAAACGUACUUCACGCCAGGUUUGGCCUGACUUGGGAAGGCAUGCAUUUGUUUGCUCCUGAAUUUUCUUGGGGAGAGGUGGAGGCCCUUCAGAGACUGGUGUCCAUCACGCUCCUCUCAGAUAUGGUUUGUUCAUAGGUAAAGAACUGAUCACCCUUGCCUGUAUCACACACAGGGCGGCAGCGGCAUGAGGAGGAACAGCACUGCCCGCUGGCUAAGGGUUUGCCAUUGACUGAAAAAUGUGCUUAAGAUUCCUCUGAUAGUCCAAAGGUAGGUGAGCGCCCCCUCCCAUCUCUGCUAAAAUUAUAACGCGAACCUAACAUUGCACUCAUAUAAGGCCAGGUGACAGUUACAUUCUAGGGGUGGCAUGUGUUGGUUUUCUGCAUCUUGUUGUAGAAUACUCCUUCGGUGACAACCAAGUCUAAAUCCUCUUUACUGAUCUGUAAAUCAGCACAUAAACACUAUGGUUAUAGAGACCUCCCUGGGUUUUGAUUUUCAGCCUUUGAAUCUAAAUCUUUAGGUUGGGCAGAAAGAUCCAGGAGCACUUAAGAAAAGUGACCCUCGCUCAGAGUUGAGCUUUCUUCCAGCACUGAAUACUCCCAGGUCUGCCUUGCUUGGGGUAUAUUUUGAGGGUGGCAUUAUGCUUUUUCUUUCCUCAGAAGAAACUUUGGAAGGUUUAUUAGGAAAAUUCAGUUUAUUUUGAAAGCUCUGGCUUCAGAAGGAAAGAGGUAAAGAAAGAAAGACAAAAACCCCGAAGCUGUAGUGAAGUGAACCUUAAAGACAGCCAAGAAACAAAAAAGCAAUCUAAAUUCUUUGCAUAAACUAUUUUUUUCUAUCUCCAGGGAAACAGGCAGAUUAAGUGUGAAGGUGCAAUAAAUACCAAAGGGACCACUUCUUUCCAAGUGUGCUCAGAGUUCAGCCUGUAGAACAGCUGCAGAAACUCCUGGGCCCGAAGCACUGCGUGGUUUCACCUUUCAUUGCAGGGAAGGACACGUUUCUAUGCCUUACAGAGACUUGAAGCCUGAAAGCCUGGCCAAGUUUGGGAAGAAGAGGAGCCCUCUCAGAGCUCAAGAGCCUUCCUGCUCUUUGGAACUUUUCCCACCGUGGGUCAAACUUGACAAGAGUUCAGCUCAAGUUGAAUACACUCACACAAAUUAUGUGAGCAGUCAGAAUCCAAGUGAACAUAACUUGAGCCAUCUACAAGAUUUUUACACACAAGGGCAGACAUCUCCAUCCAGAGAACCUUUUUUUUUUAAUUAAAAGUAGGAAACAUACAAAUGUGUCUUAGAACUUUUAAUGGUUUUUAAAACAGAGUUUAUUCUUAGCACAUGGCUUUUUAUAUAGCCACACCACAAUUUGUACAGUUGCACAUGGGUCGAAAUGCACUCCCCUCUCCCCCGAGAUUGUGCCUCAGAAUAAGACAACAAUAUCUCUACAACAAUAUUUUAAAUAAAUGCAAGGAAAGGAAA
rnacentral:lncRNA from 1 species